CUCUCCUGUUUACCAAAGUCAAGAGCCAAGAAUUCUUGCCAUUAAUCAUUCCUUAAAGGAGAAAUCAGCACCACCCCACCCACUCCACCCUCCAACAAGCAAAAACAUAAAAGUGUUAUUUGGGAACACUUACUUAUUAUCACUUCACAUGCCUGAAAUUAGGUAAUCAGAUUAAAAAUUAAUCAUGAAAAUGAACAAAUGGGGACUCCAAUAAAAGCUAAAUAGGUGCCAGGCACUCUCUUAAGCACAUGUCAUGUACUUUAUCAUUAAAGAGUCUCAAAAGCCCGGUGAGGUCAUACUAUUUCCAAUUUACAGAUUGAGAAAGUGAAGCCCAGGGAGGUUACACAACUUGCCUAAGGUUAACUAGCCAACAACUGGCAGAACUAAAAUGUAAACCCUUCCUCUUAAAACCUAUUCCAAAUCCCCUCCAUACAUUAAUAACUCUUCUAUCUGUUAUCUCUAUCACAAACCUGAUCGCGUUCCAAGCAAAUUAGGAAGGAGUUCCUUUUCCUGGGACAGUUUCCCAUCUGUCCCAGGAAGAGAAGAAGGAGACACCAGGCAUGGCCUCUGGAAACCAGGCAAUUUUGUUGAAACGCCUGCUUGGACCUCCAAAGCAUGCCCUCUCAAGGCAGAACUUUAAUCGAAGCUAAUUUUUCUCCUAAGGGAGGUGAUAAUGAAAAAAGUGAUUGAGAAACACAGCAAGAAUCCACUGGGAAAUGAACCAAGACUGAGCAUGCCCCCCCCACCCCGCCCCGCUGCCACUGUACCCACACUCCUUCCCUGAAUCUGAAUCUGGGCAAUGUUGGCUGCUAACCAGGUGGAGGGGAUGGGGCACACUCUGGGAAGAGCUGCUUCAGACCACAGUCCCCGCCACCAGGCCGCACUCAGGAUGGGGUGUGAGCAAGAGAAAAUCCUUGCCGAUUGCGUUUUCUUUCUUGCCUUCUGAACUCGGAAUGUCCUGAUGCUCAGCUCUGCUCCACCCAGGCCAAGCCUGGGGGGAAACCUCCACCAGAGAAGAACAGAAAGAGAAAAGCAUCUGUCUACAACGGUUUUUUGUCCCCCUUGCAAUCUACACGCAGCAGCGUUACCAGCCACCCCCUCCCCAAACACACACUCUGCCUGCCGUUAGUACAUCUCGAAGGGUUUCAGGCCUGUGUCCGUGAGGAUAUGGGGACGGAUUUAUUCAGCAGGAACGUGGUUACAGGCAAAGGAGAAGGAGGAGGGGAAAGAAGCAGGACUCUGCCAGGAAUUCCUCUUGCAAAGGGAAUCUGCUGAAGAAGAUAAGGAGAAACGGAGACUCGGAAGGUGGAGUGAGUCCCCCAAGGUGCAGGGAGUUAACAGCAAGGCUGAGCACAAAACCCGGAGAGCCGAGCCGGGGUGCUCUCUGCCUAUCUGCACAGCCUCUUACAGCCAGGAGUUCUUCUAAUAGCACGCACUAAAAGAAAAUACUCCAGAACGCUGAAAUUGCCUGAGCGCCAGCACCCUUUAUAAGGAUUUCUGUGCUGCACAUUUUCAUCUCCUCCACUCGGCAGGAAGGACCACCUUCUUGGUCCAGGUUUCACCCACUCGAACCUAAGCCACCGACACUUGCCUGUAACAAAGCAUUUCCAAGCUGGGGUUUUGGAGGGGGGCCUACAGGCUCUCUUUGACCACCUCCUCCCUUGCCCCUCCUCAGCCCAGUGGGUAUUUUCCGAGCGCAGGCAUUUGGUUUGGCCCGCGCCUAGUGUCCACAGGCGUCCUUGACUGAUGAAACAGACAUGUCUCCCGCGUGA